CUUCUUGCAAUAUGAAAUUAUGGAUUUUAAGCAAAAGGCCAACACCUUAAAUUUACUCUUCAUGUCAAAACCUCAGCUUUAGUUUAGGCAAGCUUCUAGUCUGCAAUUUAAACACAUUUUUCACUUCUUAGAGUCAUAGAACCAUUAAGGUUGGAAAAGACCUCUAAGAUCUAUUCCAAUCAUCUGCCUUCCACAAAUAUUGCCUACUAACUACAUCCCUCAGUGCCACAACUACACAGUUCUGGAACACCUCCAGGGAUGGUGACUCUACCACCUCCAUGGGCAGCCUGUGCCAGCACCACUCUUACAGACAAGAAAUUCUUCCUAAAAUCCAACCUGAACCUCCCCUCGUGCCACUUGAUGCCACUACCCUUCAUCCUAUUCUUGGAGAAGGAGAAACUGCUUACAAACUGACAUCAACAACUAAAAAAACCCAGAAACAGAAAAUGAAUUAAAGAAAUAUCUUUUCAGAUUUGUAACAUUUUAAAUCCUCCGUUUUAUUUUACAACAGUAUUGUGAAGAAGUGUUCCUAUAUAUUUUCUCUUGGAGAACUAAAUAUGAUUAUCCUUCUCUCCCUUUUGACUUUCCAUUUGGUGGGCUGAGGAUUGCUGCAGCUUCACUCAGCAUGUUUUGAUACAGCUGGAUGAGGAAUCAUGUGGACUUAUUUUUCCUUCUUGGUCAUUACUGGCAGUGAGUUGGCACUUAGUGAUGGUGAACUCUGUACUAACUUCUGCCACAGAGAAUCAGAGACAUUUGGCAGAAUCACCAAGGUUGGAAAAGACCUCCAAGAUCCUCUAGUCCAACUAUCCACCUACAACUGCUGGCACUCUCUCAUCAGGCUCAUAAUGACUUUGGGUGAAAUCCCAGCCGAGCUCAAGGCAACAUGUCUGGAUGCAGAGGGCUAAUCCUCUGCCGACACGAACUGACAAGAUGCCAUUGAGGCUGAUGAAGCACUAUCAAUUUACAACAGCCGAAGAUGUGUCACAUAAGCUACAAAGGAUCCUAAAGCAGGUGGGAAGUCCUGCACCCUUCCCACACACCACCAUUUCCUUCUGGCUGUAGGACAGAAGAAUUCAUCACCUCCCUCUCUUCCCUGC
ensembl:lncRNA